UUUAAAAGGAUUCACCGCUUAAAAUUUAAACAAAAUAUUACAAUUAAUACGCCUUUUAUGGGUUCAAGAUCCUAAAUCAGACAUCGGCCUAUAUGGCAGCGAAAUCUUGAAAUAGACCUCGAAUUUUACAACGACCAGAAACAUGUAUAUAUACCUUGUACGGACGGAAACUAAAAGAAUAUUAAUCAAAUACGUUGCUUUAAUGGCCUUUACUUGCCGGAAAUCGAGUAUGAUUCUUUAAAAAGAUCGAAACGUCAAUUUUUUCUGAAAAAAAAAUUGACUUUUUGUUUAUCGGAAAAAGUCGACUUUUUAAUUUCACUUUUGGUCGUUAGGAGUUACAAUAAUGAUGUUGGUACCAAAGCCUAAUUUGAAUAUAUGUAUACUUUGCCUAUGAAUGAAUAUUUGUUUCUCGACAAGUGUUGUUCGGCGAAAAUUUCACUGCCGCUGGGUGUCGACUUUAGUAAUAGUUAACUAACCUGUGAACCACUGUCAACACUUCGCCAAGUUAAGACUUUAUUCAUUCAUAGGAACAAGUAUACAAUACGAUUGUCCAAGUUGUACAUUCACGUGUUUUUUGUUCUAUAUUAACAUAUGUACAAACAUUCAUACAACCUAUUUGGUAGAAACAAAUAACGAUAAGUUUGCACUAAAAACCUAUGCGUGUAGUUGCUGUACGACUCUUUGUCUCUUAGUCCAUAUUUCCGGCUACGGCCUUCUUACCCGCGUAUAUUCACAUUCGGUUGUUCGUUAAAAUCCGUCCUUCCUUCUCAGCAUUUAUCAUCUGUCUUGGUCAAAAUUUUUAUAAUUCAACGGCAACAAAAAGAAGAGAGCAAUCAAGCAAGCAGACAAACGUUUUUUUUUUAUUUUACUUUUUCUACUAAUAUAUCUGGCCUCUUAUGCUUUAGAUAUUUCUCCUUUCUUAUGGACAGACGGUGGCGAGAGUGUAGUGAGUCAAACUGUCAAGCUCACAAACAGAAAUGCUGCCAUUUCUUUACAAUCUUCUUUGCUGUAGUGUUCGUUCAUUCGUUCGUUGUCGUUGAGAAAAUGUACAAUAUCAACAAAUAAAGUGUCCAAACCGAAAACUCAUAAAAUACGCAAAAAUAUACAUACACUCACGCCAUACACAUACAAUGGGUCUUCAAAAACUCGAAUGGUCGUUGUCGUAAACAACAAAGUGCAAAAAAAAAAAAUUAGGAAUACUACCAUAAAAACGCGCUCUGUUAUUUGAUUGCCUUAUAGUCAGCCAUCAGCCAGAGACAGCGACAGCGACUGCAGAGCCAAGAUCCGAUCCAAUCCGAUCCGGUACCUCCGCCAUCCAUCUCAACACCACACCACUACUACCAUCAGAGUCAAUCAAUGUUUAUUUUUUUCAAUUCAUUUUAUUUUUUGGUUUUUUGUGCCACUGCGAACCAUCGAGCAACGAGCGAGAGCUGUUUAGUGUUUUGUACUUUUUCUUUGUCGUUCCUUGUCCGUUCUGUCAGAAUUACAAACGCCUGAUUUUAAGCGUAUUUCGAGCAAAAGUAUACGCUUCGUACGUGCGUGUGCAGAAUAAAUUCGUCAAAAAACACACGUAAAUUACAAAGCAACAAACAGGAAUCACCAUCACAAUCAUCAUCAUCUGUUUUUAAAAUAACCUUCAAUAUUUUACAAGUGUUAAUAAAACACAACAACGAUGGACGGACUACUUUGCAUUGAAGAAUGAUUCCUCACUCUCUCUAUACAUAAAAAACGGGUUAAAAAAUCUGGAUGUAUGCUUGUAACCGUGGCAUGUCCGGUUAUACUCUUACGAAUGCUGGCUAUAUUUGUGAGUUAUCCUGCCAUGUUAAAAUUUCUCUACCAAGCGGUGUUUUUAUGCGGCACUCC
rnacentral:sRNA from 1 species